rnacentral:rRNA from 1 species
GACGAACGCUGGCGGCGUGCUUAACACAUGCAAGUCGAACGGAAAGGCCCUGCUUUUGUGGGGUGCUCGAGUGGCGAACGGGUGAGUAACACGUGAGUAACCUGCCCUUGACUUUGGGAUAACUUCAGGAAACUGGGGCUAAUACCGGAUAGGAGCUCCUGCUGCAUGGUGGGGGUUGGAAAGUUUCGGCGGUUGGGGAUGGACUCGCGGCUUAUCAGCUUGUUGGUGGGGUAGUGGCUUACCAAGGCUUUGACGGGUAGCCGGCCUGAGAGGGUGACCGGCCACAUUGGGACUGAGAUAAGGACCAGACUCCUACGGGAGGCAGCAGUGGGGAAUAUUGCACAAUGGGCGGAAGCCUGAUGCAGCAACGCCGCGUGCGGGAUGACGGCCUUCGGGUUGUAAACCGCUUUCGCCUGUGACGAAGCGUGAGUGACGGUAAUGGGUAAAGAAGCAACGGCUAACUACGUG